UCUAAUUACAUAGGUGGGGACGAGGUUCUUUUAUACAUGAUUGUGGGUUUGUUAUCUUAUGAUAAUCUAGUACGAGAGAUUAAAAAGACAUUGAAAUAUGACUUUGAUGGUCAAAAUGAAUUGAAAAUACUAUUUUACCCUUACUAAUUAGUACAUAAAAAUAAAGUAAAAUUAAAAAGAAAAUUAUUUGACUUAAAACAAUAGAAAAUAAAAGAAAAAGGUUAAUCUCUCUCUCUUAAGCCGAGUCUAGUCUUCUUCUCCAAAAAUCUCCAACGGUGACGAGGGCGGCGACGACCUUUCUUCUCCCAAAAAGCGACGUCCCUUCUUUUUUAUAAUUUGAGAGUUCCCCG
rnacentral:lncRNA from 1 species